UACAGAGACUGCAAGCGUUAUUCGGAUUCACUGGGCGUAAAGGGUGCGCAGGCGGCUAAGUGAGUUAGGCGUGAAAGCCUGGGGCUUAACCCCAGAAUUGCACCUAAAACUACAUGGCUAGAGCAUUGGAGAGGGUAGCGGAAUUCACGGUGUAGCAGUGAAAUGCGUAGAUAUCGUGAGGAACACCAGAGGCGAAGGCGGCUACCUGGACAAUUGCUGACGCUCAGGCACGAAAGCGUGGGGAGCAAAAGGG
rnacentral:rRNA from 1 species